rnacentral:lncRNA from 1 species
AGGAAAGGGCAGUCUGCUCACACUGGACCUUGUUAAAGCAUCUGCCACUGUGAAACCCCUGUGCCACCACAUACAGUGUUUGGCCAACACCACCACCCACCCCAACCCCUGCCUCCUGCCAGCACUUAUCCCUGCGGUACUGGACCAUUUAAGACAACCGCUGACUGCGGGCUCUUGACUUUCCUGAGCAAUAUCAUGAUGGAGAAAAGGUAUUAACUUGAGAUUUGGUUUCUAUAACAGAAAAGACGGCCCAUUAAGGCCUGCUGCUGACUCUGCACCACACUUGAUCCUCAAGCAGGAAGGUACUGACCCUGCCACCUAACAGCACAUCAGUGACUCCUCACAAAUAGAUGCCAUCCAGGCCAACUUGCCUGUGUAUUGACUGUGCCACUGUCUUCCUACUGGCACCAGACAAGAGCCAUCCUCCACCUUCCCAGGCCUGUUAUUCCCUACAACUGGUCACCAGCCUGGCAGAUGCCAGUCCCACUGCUCUCAAGUGCUUGGUUCCACAGCCACUCAUCCCAGAAAUGCUUACCCUCUCAAGCCUGACACCACUCAACUACCUAAUGGAUGUUAGUAGCUUAAACAGAGACCUUGAAGGAUAGUAGAAGGAUAGUAAACUCUAGCCUUCUACCCUGCCCAUGCUUAUGCUGGUGUAAGCACGCUAUCCUUAGAGCACCUGGGUGCCAUCUGCAGACAGUGAUGUCUUACUUAAAAUGAACUUUAGAUACAGCUGACUGGUCGGCUAUCCCUGGGGGUGAUACCCUGGUAGCUUAUUCUAGUUAUGUUAAAGCUGGCAACAGUGAUAAUUUAAGCUUCUAUAUUUAUGAUCUUACCAAGCUGGUGUGCUGUUAGUCCUUCCCUCCUUGCCCUCAGUAAUGCUAAGAGCUGCUGACAUGUGGUAUGAUAAGCACUGUUACAACAAAACCAACCUUUAAACCAAAUGACAGGCUAAACACAGUGUCUGUCCUAGACUAAGUCCAGAAAUCCGAGGUGUGCCCACGGUGUCCAGCUGGACUGUGACCCAAUGCCACAGACCUGGUGCUGUACCUUCAGCACUCAACAGGCACAGCUGUGUGUGUGACCUCAGAAUGCUGCUUAUGUAUGUCCAGCCGGUUCUGAAUGGAAGGUGUUAAAUGUUUUUGUUAAAAGUAAAACUUGUUUUUGCAACAUA